rnacentral:rRNA from 1 species
GAGUUUGAUCCUGGCUCAGAACGAACGCUGGCGGCGUGGAUUAGGCAUGCAAGUCGCGCGAGAAAGUCCCCUUCGGGGGGCGAGUAAAGCGGCGAAAGGGUGAGUAAUGAAUAGACAACUUACCCUCGAGUUUGGGACAACUCGCCGAAAGGCGAGCUAAUACCAAAUGGUGUCACUUUGAUGUUUAGGUCAUGGUGACUAAAGGUGGGGAUCUUCGGACCUACCGCUCGAGGAGAGGUCUAUUUCCUAUCAGCUAGUUGGUGAGGUAACGGCUCACCAAGGUGACGACGGGUAGCCGGCCUGAGAGGGUGUCCGGCCACACUGGGACUGAGACACUGCCCAGACUCCUACGGGAGGCUGCAGUCGAGAAUAUUCCGCAAUGGGCGAAAGCCUGACGGAGCGACGCCGCGUGAAGGACGAAGGCCUUCGGGUUGUAAACUUCUGUCACUCGUUAUGAAAUGCACUGGGGCCAAUACCCUCAGUGCUUGACGAAGGCGAGAAAGGAAGCCACGGCUAACUACGUGCCAGCAGCCGCGGUAAUACGUAGGUGGCGAGCGUUGUUCGGAAUCACUGGGCAUAAAGAGUUCGUAGGCGGCUAGGUCAGUCAGGUGUGAAAUCCCUCGGCUCAACCGAGGAACUGCAUUUGAUACUGCCUAGCUUGAGGGUAGCAGGGGAGAGCGGAAUUCUGGGUGUAGCGGUGAAAUGCGUUGAUAUCCAGGAGAACACCGGAGGCGAAGGCGGCUCUCUGGGCUGCUCCUGACGCUGAGGAACGAAAGCCAGGGUAGCGAACGGGAUUAGAUACCCCGGUAGUCCUGGCCGUAAACGAUGGGCACUACGUGGUGGGGUUCUGAUGACCUCUCCGUGGGAGCCAAUGUGUUAAGUGCCCCGCCUGGGAAGUACGGUCGCAAGGCUAAAACUCAAAGGAAUUGACGGGGGCUCACACAAGCGGUGGAGCAUGUUGUUUAAUUCGAAAAUACGCGAAGAACCUUACCCGGGCUUGACAUGCACGGAUUAGUCCUGUGAAAGCAGGGUGACGCCCAUUCCGGGUGGAACGUGCACAGGUGUUGCAUGGCUGUCGCCAGUUCGUGUCGUGAGAUGUCGGGUUAAGUCCUUUAACGAGCGAAACCCCUAUUCUUAGUUGCCAGCGGUUCGGCCGGGGACUCUAGGGAGACUGCCGGUGUUAAACCGGAGGAAGGCGGGGACGACGUCAAGUCAUCAUGGCCCUUAUGCCCGGGGCUACAAACGUGCUACAAUGGGGGGUACAGAGAGACGCAAUACCGUGAGGUGGAGCAAAUCUCAAAAACCUCCCCUAGUUCGGAUUGGAGGCUGCAAUUCGCCUCCAUGAAGCUGGAAUCGCUAGUAAUCGCAGGUCAGCCAUACUGCGGUGAAUAUGUACCUGAGCCUUGUACACACCGCCCGUCAAGCCACCCAAGUCGAUCGGACCCGAAGUCCUUGAGCUAACCCGCAAGGGAGGCAGAGGCCGAAGGUCAGGUUGGUAAGGGGGACUAAGUCGAAACAAGGUA